rnacentral:rRNA from 1 species
AUUGAACGCUGGCGGCAGGCUUAACACAUGCAAGUCGAACGGUAACAUAAAGAAGCUUGCUUCUUUGAUGACGAGUGGCGGACGGGUGAGUAAUGCUUGGGAAUCUAGCUUAUGGAGGGGGAUAACUACGGGAAACUGUAGCUAAUACCGCGUAGUAUCGAGAGAUGAAAGUGUGGGACCUUCGGGCCACAUGCCAUAGGAUGAGCCCAAGUGGGAUUAGGUAGUUGGUGAGGUAAAGGCUCACCAAGCCGACGAUCUCUAGCUGGUCUGAGAGGAUAACCAGCCACACUGGGACUGAGACACGGCCCAGACUCCUACGGGAGGCAGCAGUGGGGAAUAUUGCGCAAUGGGGGCAACCCUGACGCAGCCAUGCCGCGUGAAUGAAGAAGGCCUUCGGGUUGUAAAGUUCUUUCGGUAGCGAGGAAGGCAUUUAGUUUAAUAGACUAGGUGAUUGACGUUAACUACAGAAGAAGCACCGGCUAACUCCGUGCCAGCAGCCGCGGUAAUACGGAGGGUGCGAGCGUUAAUCGGAAUAACUGGGCGUAAAGGGCACGCAGGCGGUGACUUAAGUGAGGUGUGAAAGCCCCGGGCUUAACCUGGGAAUUGCAUUUCAUACUGGGUCGCUAGAGUACUUUAGGGAGGGGUAGAAUUCCACGUGUAGCGGUGAAAUGCGUAGAGAUGUGGAGGAAUACCGAAGGCGAAGGCAGCCCCUUGGGAAUGUACUGACGCUCAUGUGCGAAAGCGUGGGGAGCAAACAGGAUUGGAUACCCUGGUAGUCCACGCUGUAAACGAUGUCGAUUUGGGGGUUGAGCUUUAAGUUUGGCGCCCGUAGCUAACGUGAUAAAUCGACCGCCUGGGGAGUACGGCCGCAAGGUUAAAACUCAAAUGAAUUGACGGGGGCCCGCACAAGCGGUGGAGCAUGCGGAUUAAUUCGAUGCAACGCGUAGAACCUUACCUGGGUUUGACAUGGAUCGGGAGUGCUCAGAGAUGGGUGUGCCUCUUUUGGGGUCGGUUCACAGGUGGUGCAUGGCUGUCGUCAGCUCGUGUCGUGAGAUGUUGGGUUAAGUCCCGCAACGAGCGCAACCCUUGUUCACUGUUGCCAGCACGUUAUGGUGGGGACUCAGUGGAGACCGCCGGGGUCAACUCGGAGGAAGGUGGGGAUGACGUCAAGUCAUCAUGCCCCUUAUGUCCAGGGCUUCACGCAUGCUACAAUGGCUGGUACAGAGAGUGGCGAGCCUGUGAGGGUGAGCGAAUCUCGGAAAGCCGGUCUCAGUUCGGAUUGGGGUCUGCAACUCGACCUCAUGAAGUCGGAGUCGCUAGUAAUCGCAGAUCAGCAACGCUGCGGUGAAUACGUUCCCGGGGCU